AAUAUUGGUAGCUUAGUGGGCUUUUGAGAGAGGUCCAAGUCUGAGAUUUUAUUUAUUUAUUUAUUUAUUUCGUUUUUAUUUUUUAUUUUUAUUUUUUUAAAUAAAGCUUCUUGGAUCUAAUUCUGAUUGACAUGAUGAAAUGCAAUGUAUCUAAUGUUAAAUGACCUAAAAACGAAUGCAUGCAUGAGGUGUAAAGCGUAUGCUUCCAGGAAAAAUGAAGGGUAAAUUUUGGGGAAUCUAAUUCUGAUUGACAUGAUGAAAUGCAAUGUAUCUAAUGUUAAAUGACCUAAAAACGAAUGCAUGCAUGAGGUGUAAAGCGUAUGCUUCCAGGAAAAAUGAAGGGUAAAUUUUG
rnacentral:lncRNA from 1 species